AAUUCUUAAAGAUUUCAGAAUAAUUGAAAUUUGUUGAGAGCAAAAUGCAUGAUCUGAAAUUUAAAUUUGUGUUUGUGUGUUGGCUGUCUAUUCGAGUCUUGUUUUUGUAAUUUAAAUUUGUGCAACCGUGACUUAGGAGCGAUUUAUGCUUCCAAUAAGUUGGUUGGGUAAGGAACUACGGGUUCUUGACUAACAAUUACUUGCAGUAUGUAUAAUUAUCCAGUGAGCCUUAACUUUGCAUUUUACUAGUGUUUAUAGAA